AUUGAACGCUGGCGGCAUGCUUUACACAUGCAAGUCGAACGGGCUUGGGGGCUUGCUCCCAAGUUAGUGGCGAACGGGUGAGUAAUACAUCGGAACGUACCGUGUAGUGGGGGAUAACGUAGCGAAAGUUACGCUAAUACCGCAUACGAUCUACGGAUGAGAGCAGGGGACCUUCGGGCCUUGUGCUAUACGAGUGGCCGAUGUCUGAUUAGCUAGUUGGUGAGGUAAAGGCUCACCAAGGCGACGAUCAGUAGCGGGUCUGAGAGGAUGAUCCGCCACACUGGGACUGAGACACGGCCCAGACUCCUACGGGAGGCAGCAGUGGGGAAUUUUGGACAAUGGGCGAAAGCCUGAUCCAGCCAUGCCGCGUGUCUGAAGAAGGCCUUCGGGUUGUAAAGGACUUUUGUCAGGGAGCAAAACUUACUGGUUAAUACCCGGUGAGGCUGAGAGUACCUGAAGAAUAAGCACCGGCUAACUACGUGCCAGCCGCCGCAGUAACAC
rnacentral:rRNA from 1 species